rnacentral:rRNA from 1 species
CCUACGGGUGGCAGCAGUGGGGAAUAUUGCACAAUGGGGGAAACCCUGAUGCAGCCAUGCCGCGUGUGUGAAGAAGGCCUUCGGGUUGUAAAGUACUUUCAGCGAGGAGGAAAGGUUGGCGCCUAAUACGUGUCAACUGUGACGUUACUCGCAGAAGAAGCACCGGCUAACUCCGUGCCAGCAGCCGCGGUAAUACGGAGGGUGCAAGCGCUAAUCGGAAUUACUGGGCGUAAAGCGCACGCAGGCGGUUGGAUAAGGUAGAUGUGAAAGCCCCGGGCUCAACCUGGGAAUUGCAUUUAAAACUGUCCAGCUAGAGUCUUGUAGAGGGGGGUAGAAUUCCAGGUGUAGCGGUGAAAUGCGUAGAGAUCUGGAGGAAUACCGGUGGCGAAGGCGGCCCCCUGGACAAAGACUGACGCUCAGGUGCGAAAGCGUGGGGAGCAAACAGGAUUAGAUACCCUAGUAGUC